CACGUAGUUAGCCGGUGCUUCUUCUCCAGGUACCGUCACCUAAAAGGCUUCGUCCCUAGCGAAAGGAGUUUACAACCCGAAGGCCUUCAUCCCCCACGCGGCGUCGCUGCAUCAGGCUUGCGCCCAUUGUGCAAUAUUCCCCACUGCUGCCUCCCGUAGGAGUCUGGGCCGUGUCUCAGUCCCAAUGUGGCCGUACACCCUCUCAGGCCGGCUACCCGUCGACGCCUUGGUAGGCCAUUACCCCACCAACAAGCUGAUAGGCCGCAGGCUCAUCCCACACCGCAUAAAGCUUUCCACACCACCCCUACGGUGGUGUGAAUAUUCGGUAUUAGACCCAGUUUCCCAGGCUUAUCCCAAAGUGUAGGGCAGAUCACCCACGUGUUACUCACCCGUUCGCCACUCAUCCACCAAAGCAAGCUCUGGUUUCAGCGUUCGACUUGCAUGUGUUAAGCACGCCGCCAGCGUUCGUCCUGAGCCAGGAUCAAACUCU
rnacentral:rRNA from 1 species